AUACGUAUUUUGCCUUUAAUUUACCCGGAAAAAUCAAGAUUUGCGAAAACACGGCUCGAAGAGAAAAAUCCUAGAUUCCGCCGCGAAGAAGGAGACAUUUCAAAGCAGUGCAGCUCGAUUGCUAGCGAGUCUCCGAUCCAAUUCUGCGAAUUAGUUCGUCGGCGAUUUAGCCUAUUUCUAGGGUUUUUAAGGUUGGGUGAAACGCCAAACCGUUGGAGCUGGAUCUUCGGUUAACGUCGCCGCCGUCAUUGAUUACCUUAUUUCUUAGAUGGUGCCUGAUAUUGUAGAGGGUGAUGGGUUUGUUGGGAGGCAGCCUCAUAUCAAGUAUGAGCUCAGAGAUAGUCCUGGUCUUGUGAAUGUAGGAGGAUACAACCAAUGUGUAUUCUUCAACUGCAGUUAUAGUAGUUCGGAUACUCCACUGAGUGAGGGUCAGUGCCAUUGGUUUUCUC